rnacentral:rRNA from 1 species
UACGGAGGUGGCAAGCGUUGCUCGGAAUCACUGGGCGUAAAGGGCGCGUAGGCGGGGAGGUAAGUCGGGUGUGAAAUCCCUCGGCCCAACCGAGGAACUGCGCCCGAGACUGCUUCUCUUGAGUCCCGGAGAGGAAGGUGGAAUUCCCGGUGUAGCGGUGAAAUGCGUAGAGAUCGGGAGGAACACCGGUGGCGAAGGCGGCCUUCUGGACGGUGACUGACGCUGAGGCGCGAAAGCGUGGGGAGCAAACGGG